AGUGAACGCUGGCGGUAGGCCUAACACAUGCAAGUCGAACGGCAGCACAGUAAGAGCUUGCUCUUACGGGUGGCGAGUGGCGGACGGGUGAGGAAUACAUCGGGAUCUAUUUUUUCGUGGGGGAUAACGUAGGGAAACUUACGCUAAUACCGCAUACGACCUACGGGUGAAAGCAGGGGAUCUUCGGACCUUGCGCGAUUGAAUGAGCCGAUGUCGGAUUAGCUAGUUGGCGGGGUAAAGGCCCACCAAGGCGACGAUCCGUAGCUGGUCUGAGAGGAUGAUCAGCCACACUGGAACUGAGACACGGUCCAGACUCCUACGGGAGGCAGCAGUGGGGAAUAUUGGACAAUGGGCGCAAGCCUGAUCCAGCCAUACCGCGUGGGUGAAGAAGGCCUUCGGGUUGUAAAGCCCUUUUGUUGGGAAAGAAAAGCAGCAGGUUAAUACCCCGCUGUUCUGACGGUACCCAAAGAAUAAGCACCGGCUAACUUCGUG
rnacentral:rRNA from 1 species